GGUGAACGUUGGCGGUGCGUCUAAUACAUGCAAGUCGAGCGAGGCUUCGAGCCGAGCGGCGGACGGCUGAGUAACACGUUGGUAGCUACCUCAAACUCAGGGAUAACUAUGAGAAAUCAUAGCUAAUACCGGAUAGUCCCGUAAGGGUAAAGAUUUAUCGGUUUGAGAGGUGCCUGCGUCCUAUCAGGUAGUUGGUGAGGUAACGGCUCACCAAGCCUAUGACGGGUAACUGGUCNGAGAGGAUGGCCAGUCAGAGGGAAACUGAGACACGGUUCCCACUUCUACGGAAGGCAGCAGUAAAGAAUCUUCCACAAUGGACGAAAGUCUGAUGGAGCGACACCGCGUGAAGGAUGAAGGCCC
rnacentral:rRNA from 1 species